AUCCAUUUCUUCUUUUCUUUGAACUUAAAGUAAUAUUAGAAUCAUGGGUGUUUUCACUUAUGACUAUGAAUCUACCUCUCCAGUCGCCCCUGUCAGGCUUUUCAAGGCCUUUACUAUUGAAGCCGCCAAGGUUUGGCCCACAGCUGCCCCUAAUACCGUCAAGAGUGUUGAGGUUGAAGCUAAUCCUAGCUCAGGAAGCAUCGUAAAGAUCAAUUUUGUUGAAGGUUAGAUAUUUCAUUUUCAUUGGCAUUGGCAUUUUUUAGCGUGUUUUACAUGAGUAUAUUGGAUAACAAGUAUUUGUUUGUUUAGGCCUUCCAUUCCAAUAUAUGAAGCACCAGAUAGGAGGACAUGACGAAAAUAAUUUUUCAUAUAGCUACAGUUUAAUCGAAGGUGGGCCCUUGGGGGACAAGCUUGAAAAAAUCAGCUAUGAAAACAAGUUUGAGGCAGCUGCAAGUGGAGGAAGCAUUUGCAAAAGCUCGAUGAAAUUUUACACUGUUGGCGACAAUGUAAUCACUGAAGAUGAAAUCAAGGCUCUCAUUAAAGGGAGUGAGGGAGUUUACAAGCCUGUUGAAGCUUACCUCUUGGCUAAUCCCGAAGCCUGCAACUAAGAUAUAGAUUGCUUUGAAUUCUCAUGCUGCUUUUAAAGAGUGGCCAUUACUUUCAAUGGUGUGUUUUUUAUAUUUUCUCUUUCCACUUAAAACUUAAACUUUCUUAUGAUUAUUUUAAUAAGAGCGGUGGUGGUGAUCGAGCUUUGAUCAUCUUUAUUUUCAUUACUAUCAAAUAAUUUGGGUUGUAUCAUCUUUGACAUAUACUGAAAUAAAAUAAACACCAAUUCACAAACAAAAAAGGUUUUACCUAGUAUAUUGAUGAGUUAAAAUUUAUAAGACUAAUGCACGUAUUGAUGAAAAAAUAAAGUGAUAAAUAGAUAUUAUGCCUACAAGGAUCCAAUUUUAAAUUACUUAGUAGUAACUAUUUAAGUUUUAUUCAAUCCAAAACAAUAAAAUAAAAUUUAAUUAUUAUUAAAAUUAAACUAAGUUGAUUAAGAAGGCUUUAUUAAACUAAAACAAAGAAAAUUUAUAUAUGUUAAAUCCUAUAUGGAAGAAUUAAAUGUUCAUUCACCUCCUUAUAUUCUAUAUUCUAAAAAAAAUUUUGUGUUUGGACAAUUGAGUUACUUAUUUUACAAGGGCAUUAUUGUCAAUAUAGGAGGAUGUGAGUUCGAAUGUGCUGAAGCGCAUUAUCCUCCUAUUAAUAAGUUAGAGAGGGAUUAUAAAUAAUUUUAAAUAUUAUUUUUAAAAGAGCAUAUAUAAUUAAAACAUAUAAAGAGAUUGUAAAAAAGGAAAAAAAAAAAACCUUGUGCGUUUCUUGCUUACCACGAUGGGAAUAGACAAACUAACUAGUUUGGUUGCCUUAGAGAUUGAUCUUAAUUAUUAUCCUUAGUACAAUAAUUUGACAGUAAUUUUAUUAUAUUCUAUUUUCUUUAUCAUAGGGAAUUAUAACCUGUAAAAAAAUUUAAUAAAAUGAACAUGAAUUACUUCAAUUCAUAGUGUUGUAAAUCAUCUCCCCUUUCUAACGUUUGUAUUGGGAGAGCAGGUUAACCAAAACUCCUGAGCCCUACAAAAGGAACGAAGGCAUUAAAAAAACACCCAUAAAUCCUCAUGGAAUCAUUAUAUUAUCUUUGAGAGAUGCUUCAAGGUUGGAUAUUUAAACUUGUAACUAGUAUAUCAAUCACUGAUAAUUAUAGUAAAUUACUCUACUAUUUUCCGUUUUCCACAUAUAUGUGGAAGGCAAUUUCAGAUGAGGAGAUAAAAAAAAGCUUUGUUUGACAUGACUCCUUUGAAAGCUCCUGGGAGCGAUGGUUUUCAUGCUUUGUUUUUCUGAGUCAGUGGAAUGUUGUGGAAUUGCUGUCUGUGAGUGGGUUAAAAGGGUAUUUAAUGGUGGGUCAAUUGAACCAGAUUUGAAUAACACAGUCAUUGUCCUCAUUCCUAAGAUUGCGCAUCUGGAAAGUUUCCAAUAGUUUAGGCCUAUCAGUUUGUGUUCAAUCUUGUACAAGCUAGUCAUGAAAGUCAUUACUAAUCGAUUUAGGUGCAUCUUCCCUAAAUUAAUUGCGCAAGAGCAGACGAGUUUUAUUGCAAAGAGGAAUAUUAUGAAUAAUAUCCUCAUUGCACAGGAAGUCAUUCAUUCCAUGAGAGGGAAACGCCACUAGAAGUCUUGAAUGGCUGUUAAAAUUGUUCUAGAAAAAGCAUAUGAUCGAGUGCGGUGAGAUUUUACCGAGGCUUUGCUAAGACCUGUAGAUAUUCUGGUUUUUUUAUAAAGGUCAUUAUGGAUGGAAUAUCAGGUUCUCCGUGCAAGUUCUUUGGAAUGAGAUUCCAGCAUAGAAAUUUAAGCCGACGAGAGGGAUCUGUUAGGGCUAACUUUUAUCUCUGUAUUUGUUUGUUCUAUGUAUGGAAUGGCUUGGGUAUAGUUUUAGUUUGGCUAUUUCUAAUGGUCAGUGGCAUCCAAUUAGAUUGUCUAGAGCUGGGCCGGAUUUAUCACAUCUAUUCUUUGUUGAUGAUCAGGUAAUUUUUACCAGAGUUGACUUGGGUCAUUCACUACUCCUAAAGGAGAUUUUGGAUAAUUUCUACAAUAUCUCUGGUCAUUGUGUUAAGGCUCGGAAGACUAAUAUUUUUUUCUCAAAAGGGAUUAACAAGGUGGUGGGUAGUGGAAUUAGUAGUUUGCUUGGUUUCCAAAAAGUGGAUAAUCCCGGUUCGUAUUUGGGUGUUCCUAUUUUUUAAGAAAGGGUCACCAAAAGUACUCUUAGAUUUGUGGUGGAUAAGGUUCAAAGUAAGUUGUAUAAUUGGGACGCCAGGAAGUUAUCUUUAGCUCGGACAGAUACUUUAGCACAAUAUGUACUUUUAUCCAUUGCAAAAUAUUUCAUGUAGUCUUUAAUGAUUCUAACGUUCCGUUUAUUUCUUUGAAAAUGGCUUUCGGAAAAUGAUUUUUAGAAAAUGACUUAUUUUUCUGGAAAAGCUAAUAUUUUCUGGUGUUUGGAUGAAUUUGUGUAAAAUAUUUUCUUUUGUUUGGCAAGUUCUUUAAAAAUAUUUCAUAAAAGUCGUUCUCAAUUAAACAAACAUACAUUUGAGAUUUUUUUUUUCAUUGUUUAAUUGAGUUUAUUUUAUAUCUAUAAUUUUAUAUUUUACAUUGUUUUUACAUAUAUUAAAAAUAUUUUGUUAAAUUUAUGUUCAUUGCAAUGAUCCUUUUUUAGUUACAUGACUACCAACUGAGCAUUUUUUUAUUUAAAAAUGUGACAUUAACAAAAUUGACAAAAAAAUCAACAAUGUUAGCAGUUGGACUUGAUUUUCUAAUCUAGAAAGUAGAGGGGCUAAAUUCUUUAAAAUAAAAGUACAUAAACUAAAUUGCAAAUUUGUAAAGAGUAUAUAGACUUAUGACAUAUUUUAACAUUUAUACUACAAAACAUUUAUUAUUAAUAUAUUUAUAAUUGUAAUAAAUAUUUAGUAUUAAAAUAUUAAUAUUGAUAUUUUCAAUAAUAUGUGAAUAAUAUUAUUUAAAAUUAUUAUUUUUAAAAACUACUAUUAAAAUAAAAUUUAAAUAUUAAAUAAUUUAUUAAAAAUAAUAAAUUAUGUUAAUUAUAUUAAUAAUUUAUUAUAUGACUAAAUAUAAAUAAUUAAAUACGUAUGUUUAAUAAUAUUAAAAAAUAUAAUAUUUUAUAUUAAUAUUUUAAAUAUUUUUAAAAAUAAAAAUAAAAAUAAAAUUUAUUAUCAGUAUAAUAAUAUUAAACUUGAUUUAAUUUAAUUUUUAUAUAAAAGUAAAAUUAUCUAUUGAGGAGCUCGUUUCCGAAAAAUGACCUUUUCAAAAGGGUGAGUCAUUUUACAAGGAAAAAGGCUUAUUUUUCGUUGACCUGUAUGUCAUUUUCUGUUGGCCAAGCUAUUUUCUGUGAAACAAACACAGGAAAAUGCAGAAAAUUUUUUCCGUAAAACCUUUUACAUGUAAACAAACGAACCCUAAAUGAGUAUGUGAUGAGAUUGAGCGCUUGGUCAGAUAGUUUAUUUGGGGUUGGUCGAGUGGGAACAAGAAGUUGACGUUAGUUAGUUGGGAUUCAGUCUAUCAGCCUCGUUCUUGUGGAAGACUUGGGUUUCAUCAUUUGGAGGAUCAGAACAAGUCAUUUUUGUUGAAAUUGAAGUUUAAUUUGGUUUUGAACGACAAUGCUUUAUGGGUUAGGAUUCUCAUUUCGAAGUAUGGUAUGAAGGAGAGGUUGCCAGAGAGCAUUUUGAGAAGUUCAAGUUUGUUCCUUUGGAGGGCUCUAUCCAAGGUUUGGUCUUUGCUUAAAGAUAAUCUAGUAUGGUCCAUGGGAGAUGGAAUGAAGGUCGAUUUGUUAUUGGAAAGAUCAUUGGAUUGCGAGUGUAGGACCUUUGAUGCGGCUAAUCCCUUCGCAUGCUAACUUGGAUCCUGACUAUAUGCUUAACGUGACGGUAACGGUGGAUGAGGUGUGAAAUAUUGAUUUAUUUCGAGUGUGGCUGUUUCAAGACAUUGUUCGGUGUAUAGUCAGUAUUUCGACACCCCAUUCUUCAGCGGGUCCGAACAGGAUUGCUAGGAGCCAUCAACCUAUUGGAUCUUUUUUUGUUAAAAGGGCGUAUCACAUGAUUCAGGAGAAUUUUAGGAGGCCUAGAUAUGAGACUUGUAAGAGAGCAUGGAAAUUUUAAGGGGCGCAAAGAGUUCGUUUCUUUAUGUGGCUUACUUUAAAGCAAAGAUUGCUCACAAGUAUGGAAUGUGUUAGGAGAAGAAUUGGUCAGGAUCCUUCUUUCCCAGUUUGCGGCCAUGCCUCUGAAGACCUUCUUCAUGUCCUUAGAGAUUGCUCUAUGGUGAAACAUGUAUGGCUGAGCGUAGUGCCUGUAAAUCAGAGUGAUAACUUUUUCUCUGUUAACAACUUUGCAGACUAUUUAGUUUCUAACUUAUCCUCACGUUUAAAGGUACACUCUGAGGAAGUUUUUUGGUCUUGCUUAUUUGGUUUAAUAUCAUGGUGUCUUUGGAAGAACAAGAAGUUAUUCAUUUUAUAGUGUUUGACUUGGAAUGCUUAAGAGAUAAUUAAAGUUUCAGUAUGUUGGGCUCAACAAUUUUUAAAUGUUCAUUUGACUAUGAUGUUUAGUAGGUGCAUUGGAGCUCUGGUUUAAUCUUUGUUGAAUCUUUGUGUUUUUCUAUAUACUGAUGGGGCAAUGAAUGUGAGUACAAGAUGCACAUCUGCUGGUGGUGUAGUGAGAGAUCAGUUUGGUGAUUGGAUUGUCAGGUUCAAUCAUAAUUUAAGUGUUUGUCUAGUCUUUGAUGCUGAACUCUUGAGUAUUUGGGAUGUUUUACUAUUGUUAUAAGAAAAGGGGUAUGUUAAAGCCUUAAUUCUGGAAAAUUGCUUGGAGGCAGUCAAUGCUAUUCAAGAUGACUAUUUGGGGUAUCAAUUUAGGCCUUGGUUUGAUGAAUUAAGCAGAUUUUAUAGUACAAGGAGCAUUGGACAGCUAGGCAUGUCUCUAGGGAGAGAAAUCAAGUUGCUAAUCGUUUAGUUAAAAUGUUUUCUGUUUAAAUUGAUGGUAUGCAUAGAUUAAUAGGCACGCUUAGGGAGUUAAUUGAUCUCCUUAAACAUGAUAAAGUUGCUAGUGCUUUUGUUCAUUUAGUUUGAUCUUGUUAUAUCUUUUUAUUAAAAAAAUCUCUAACUAACACGAUUUAUUUUGAAUUUAAUAAAAAUAAUUUCUUAAAAUAAUAAUUUUAGACAAUUUUUAAUCAAUGCUUAUAAAAACCGUCAGCACAUCAAAUUAAUUGAACCAUAAGUCUCUGUCAGCACAAUUCAUUAUUCCCUCUAUAUAUUUAAAUAAGCAUUAUUGAAAACAAUAAAUUAAGCAAAUAAGUAGAUAAGUAGAAGACAAACUGAUACAAUAUUUGAACUCACCAAUUUGCGAUUUAAUAAGAAAGUUCUGGCUGCCUAUUUUGACUAGUACCAAUUCAAUGAAAAUUAAUAACAAUGUUGGAUAUAAAUCCAAUUAAAAAAUGAGAAUAAUAAUUUUUUACGCUUCAAGUUCAGUGUAUAAAUAGCAUCCUAGUUCUCUAUCAUCUCACACCUCAACCACUCAAUCAUCCACUUCUUCUCUUCUUUGAACUCAAAGUCCCAGUUAAUAUUAGAAUCAUGGGUGUUGUCACUUAUGACUAUGAGUCUACCUCCCCAGUCGCCCCUUCCAGGCUUUUCAAGGCCUUUACUGUUGAAGCUCCGAAAGUUUGGCCCACGGCUGCACCUAAUGCAGUCAAGAGUAUUGAGGUUGAAGCUAAUCCUAGCUCUGGAAGUAUCGUAAAAAUCAACUUUGUUGAAGGUUAGUUCUUUCAUUGGCCUUUUUGUAGUCUGUUUUACACGAGUAUGUUGGAUAACAAGUAUUUAUUUGUUUAG
rnacentral:lncRNA from 1 species